GUCCACGCUGUAAACGAUGACGACUAGGUGUGGGGGGGUUCAGUCCCCUCCGUGCCGCAGCUAACGCAUUAAGUCGUCAGCCUGGGGAGUACGGCCGCAAGGUUGAAACUCAAAGGAAUUGACGGGGGCCCCGCACAAGCGGUGGAGCAUGUGGUUCAAUUCGAUGCAGAGCGAAGAACCUUACCUGGGCUUGACAUGCAGGAAGUAGAAACCGGAACGGCGACGACCUGUUAAGUCAGGAACCUGCACAGGUGGUGCAUGGCUGUCGU
rnacentral:rRNA from 1 species